AUUGAACGCUGGCGGCAGGCCUAACACAUGCAAGUCGAGCGGAUGAAGGGAGCUUGCUCCUGGAUUCAGCGGCGGACGGGUGAGUAAUGCCUAGGAAUCUGCCUGGUAGUGGGGGAUAACGUCCGGAAACGGGCGCUAAUACCGCAUACGUCCUGAUGGUGAAAGUGGGGGAUCUUCGGACCUCACGCUAUCAGAUGAGCCUAGGUCGGAUUAGCUAGUUGGUGGGGUAAAGGCCUACCAAGGCGACGAUCCGUAACUGGUCUGAGAGGAUGAUCAGUCACACUGGAAGUGAGACACGGUCCAGACUCCUACGGGAGGCAGCAGUGGGGAAUAUUGGACAAAGGGCGAAAGCCUGAUCCAGCCAUGCCGCGUGUGUGAAGAAGGUCUUCGGAUUGUAAAGCACUUUAAGUUGGGAGGAAGGGCAGUAAGUUAAUACCUUGCUGUUUUGACGUUACCAACAGAAUAAGCACCGGCUAACUUCGUG
rnacentral:rRNA from 1 species